rnacentral:rRNA from 1 species
UAAUUAAGCGGAGGAAAAGAAACUAACCAGGAUUGUCUCAGUAAGGGCGACUGAAGCGACAAUAGCUCACCAUGCGAAUCUGCGUCAAGCCGAAUUGUGGUCUCACAUGCACUAUUGGGCCGGGCCAAGUCCGUUGGAACACGGCAGCCGAGAGGGUGAGACUCCCGUCCGCCUGGCCUUGUGAGCUUGUGUAUUCGAGUCGAGUUGUUUGGGAUUGCAGCUCUAAGCGGGUGGUAAAUUCCAUCGAAAGCUAAAUACUGGUGGGAGACCGAUAGCGUACAAGUACCGUGAGGGAAAGAUGCAAAGAAGCGCGAAAGCGCUGUUAAAGAGUACCUGAACUUGCUGAAACGGAAGCGAAGGAAACCAGUGCCAGCUGCGUCAUACUUCCCCGCCCGCUUGCGGUUGGGGCGCUGUGACCAGCGUUGUCAUACUUGGUGGGAGGGUGCGGAAGAGCUCGUGGGGAGUUGACCCUCGUUGCGUGCGCGCCGUCUGACCGAGGCUGACGAAAUGGUUUUCUUUUUCCCG